rnacentral:lncRNA from 1 species
GCCACCAAUCCCACAGCCACCACCUCCGCAGCCGCCCUCGCCACCUAAGCCGCCUAGCCCUCAGCCACCGCCGCCGCAACCGCCCUCGCCGGUUAAGCCACCUAGCCCACAGCCACCACCUCCGCAGCAGCCCUCGCCAGCUAAGCCGCCUAGCCCGCAGCCACCGCCGCCGCAACCGCCCUCGCCACCUAAGCCACCUAGCCCACAGCCACCGCCGCCGCAGCAGCCCUCGCCGGUUAAGCCACCAAUCCCACAGCCACCACCUCCGCAGCCACCCUCGCCACCUAAGCCGCCCAGCCCACAGCCACCGCCGCCGCAACCGCCCUCGCCGGUUAAGCCACCAAUCCCACAGCCACCACCUCCGCAGCAGCCCUCGCCAGCUAAGCCACCCAGCCCGCAGCCACCACCUCCGCAGCCACCCUCGCCACCUAAGCCGCCCAGCCCACAGCCACCGCCGCCGCAACCGCCCUCGCCGGUUAAGCCACCAAUCCCACAGCCACCACCUCCGCAGCCGCCCUCGCCAGCUAAGCCGCCUAGCCCGCAGCCACCGCCGCCGCAACCACCCUCGCCAGUUAAGCCACCUAGCCCACAGCCACCACCUCCGCAGCAGCCCUCGCCAGCUAAGCCACCCAGCCCACAGCCACCACCUCCGCAGCCACCCUCGCCACCUAAGCCGCCCAGCCCACAGCCACCGCCGCCGCAACCGCCCUCGCCGGUUAAGCCACCAAUCCCACAGCCACCACCUCCGCAGCAGCCCUCGCCAGCUAAGCCGCCUAGCCCGCAGCCACCGCCGCCGCAACCACCCUCGCCACCUAAGCCGCCCAGCCCACAGCCACCGCCGCCGCAACCGCCCUCGCCGGUUAAGCCACCAAUCCCACAGCCACCACCUCCGCAGCCGCCCUCGCCACCUAAGCCGCCUAGCCCUCAGCCACCGCCGCCGCAACCGCCCUCGCCGGUUAAGCCACCUAGCCCACAGCCACCACCUCCGCAGCCGCCCUCGCCGGCUGAGCCGCCCAGCCCGCAGCCACCACCUCCGNNN